rnacentral:misc_RNA from 1 species
GUGAAUCAUCAAAUUUUUGAACGCAAAUUGCACUCUCCGCGGAGAGGAUGCCUGUUUGAGGUUCAGCCUAAAAAAAAUUGACAUCGUGUCUGUUCCGUGGUGACGGUCGUGGGGAAUUGGGUUAUCGUAAACCUUUUUUUUGAUACGACUUAAAAUUUUCCUUUUGAUUUCUUGAACGUUUCUAAGAUUUAUUUCUUUACACGUUUAAUGUAUCGAUUUUGAUUAGACGUUGCCGUCAUAUCGU